rnacentral:rRNA from 1 species
CAGAGGUCCCAAGCGUUGUUCGGAUUCACUGGGCGUAAAGGGUGCGUAGGUGGCGGGGUAAGUCGGAUGUGAAAUCUCGGAGCUCAACUCCGAAAUGGCAUUGGAAACUACCCUGCUAGAGGGUCGGAGGGGGGACUGGAAUACUUGGUGUAGCAGUGAAAUGCGUAGAUAUCAAGUGGAACACCAGUGGCGAAGGCGAGUCCCUGGACGACUCCUGACACUGAGGCACGAAAGCUAGGGGAGCAAACAGGAUUAGAUACCCUGGUAGUCCUAGCCGUAAACGGUGCACGUUUGCUGUAAAAGGAAUCGACCCCUUUUGUGGCGUAGCCAACGCGUUAAACGUCGCCGCCUGGGAAGUACGGUCGCAAGAUUA